rnacentral:ncRNA from 1 species
AACAACGUGUUGAGAGGGAAAAGUAAGAAGUCUUUUCUAACUUGAAAGAGAGAAUCACCAUGGCUGAAAGUGAUUUAAGUAGAAGCUUCCGAAAAUGCACCCUUGAGCCUUUUCUUGAAAUGAAGUAGGGAAAAGCGUGUUGCGACGUUAUACGCAAAGUUGAGAAAAAUAGUGCCGGAGCUUGUGGCAUUAUUGAAACAGAGUGGGACCGCGCGUUAGCGCCUCUGUG